ensembl:lncRNA
GGAAGAGCCCAUGUAGCGGUCCAAGGCAGGGACGGAGCUCAGGAGCCCUCUCUCGCUGUUCAGAGGCACGAGCCAGGGCAUCGGGAAUGGCUUUGGGAAGGGGCUGCACAGUCCUCUCCUUCCCCUCACCCUCCCAAAUGCAGCACAGCAGUCAGGGCAGAAGCAGCCUGAUGGGAUCCAGAGGCUUCCCGCGAGCGGGAUCAGCCCUGAGACAGGACAGCGCCCAGCACAAGUGAUCCUGCGGGAUUUGCAGGAAGCCCAUGGCAUGCCCAGUAGAGACACGUGGGGAGGUGCUCUUGUACGUAGGCGGCCACCGCAUCCCAGACGGCAACUCGCUCUGGAGGGCAAAGGAAAAGCAGGUCACACUCUGCACCUGCCGCUUCCCGGCAGCCCUCCCGCUGCCAGGCGGGAGUGAGGUGGCAGAUGGAAAGUGUCGUCUGCGUGCCAGGAUUGGCUGCAGCAGCGCUCCUGUGGUGGCUGUGGAGCCGUGUACCUUCGGUGUCGGUGCAGCCGUUGCCUGAAUUGAUCUUCAAGUUGUUGACACAGAAACAACUCCUGUUCCAAAGGACUCUACGCGUAACGUUGAAGACCUGUUGCCAGAAGGUUUCUUUCCUUUGCCUGGCAGUUUUUUCCUUGAUUCUUUGUUGGAACGCUCACUGAAUUACCCGGCAUUGAUCCUCGACGUCAUUGUGGUGACUGCGUCGCACCCGCAACCCUAGCGGGCAGGGAGUGCUGUGUUUGGGGGAUCUGCACCUGCACUCCCCUUCUGCUGUCCUUUCUUCCCUGUAGCCUCGCUUGCUUUUGCAUUUGCACUUCUCUUAGGCUCUUGGUUCUUCCCUGUAUUCUCCCUGCUUUUCCGUCUGCAUUCUCACUCUUUUCCUGUUUUUUCUCUUCUGCUUCUCUUCUGCUGUUCUAUCCUCUGUGUAUCCUCACUGCUCUUUCAUCACUAUCCGUGCUCUUCAGCGUUUUUUUUCCCCUGCUUCCUCUCCGUACUUCGUCUGCCCUGCUUUUCUUCCCUGUAACGUGACAUCUCUUUUCUUCUGCAUCGGCUCUCCUCCUCCUCUUUCUUCCCUGUAUUCUCCCUGCUCAUUCUCGGGCAGCUGUGCUCCUCUUCUGCUGUUCUUUCCUCCUUGUAUCCUCACUCUUCUGAUGGUUUCCAUUGCAUCUCACCACUGCUCUUUCACCUGCAUCUGCUUUUCUCUUCUGCUGUAUGUUUCCCUGCUUCCUCACUCCUCUUUCUUCUGCAUUGGCUCUACUCUUCUGCUCUUCUUUCUUCCCUCACUCUUUUUCCAUCUGCCCACCUCUUAGGCUCUCCCUUCUUUUCUAUCCUCCCUGCUCUUUCCUCUGCAUUCUCACUCUUCUCCUGUUCUUAUUCCCCUGCAUCAUCCUCACUCCUUUUCCCUCUGCAUCAGCACUGCUCUUCUGUUGGAUUUUGUUUCCUGUUGCCAGACUUGUCUUUAUUCUGCAUCUGCACUCCUCUUCUACUGCUCUUUCUUCUCUGUAUCCUCACUCCUCUUUCUGCUGCCUCUGCUCUCCUCUCUGCUUUUUUUUUUGGUCCCUGUAUUCUCACUUGUCUUUCUUCUGACUGCUCUUGAAGAGAGAGAGCAGGACCCUGCAGUUCGAGAGAGAAGGGCCUCACAGCAAGAAAGGGGAAAGCAGCUUCACAAAGUAGAAACAAGGGGCAAAUAGAGAUAGUUUAGGUAGAGAGUGUUAGAAAACAAGGGGUUCCAAGCACUUGCACAGACACUGGGUCUGGAAUAGCAAGGAGGAUGAAGGCCAUAGAGAUAAGGGCUGGAGAGCAGCUCGAAAAAACAUUUGGCAGGGAGGUGAUUAGAUGUCUACAGGGCAAGUUGAAACUGGUUUGGGGGAUGCCCCCCCUUCAGGGUCAGAAGUUUGCAGCAAGGAAGACUACGAGCCU